CCAUUAAGAAAUAUAUUUGCCUUUGUUUUUGUUUUGAGUGCUGCAAAUAUUACGUUCUCUGGUCCAGAGCACGCAGAAUGAUCUGCUGGAAAGUAACAGUAAGAAAGGAGAGGAGUUACAAGUGUGCUGGUGAUCUAAUGAUUGUCUUGAGAUUGUUACAGAAGACCUAAACAUGCCUAAGGACCCUGUGUUCAUCAGAAGGAUUCAACAAUCAACAAAAUUAAAUACCUUCAGGACAUGCAAUAUCAUCGGACCACUCUGAAGUUAAAGUGAGGGAGUAUAUGCAUCUUAUUCUACAAAGAAGUGAGCAAAGAAACUUUGAGUAAAUGUCAGCUUCAGCCAGAGUAGUCAAGCAACUGUGGAAAUGAUGUGAGAG